rnacentral:misc_RNA from 1 species
UCUCCGUAGGUGAACCUGCGGAGGGAUCAUUACUGAGUUCUGGGUCUAACCGACCCGACCUCCAACCCUUUGUUAUCCAACUCUGUUGCCUCGGGGGCGACCCUGCCGCUUCGGCGGUGCGGCGCCCCCGGAGGCCAUUAAACACUGCAUCAUUGCGUCGGAGUUAAAGUAAAUUAAACAAAACUUUCAACAACGGAUCUCUUGGUUCCAGCAUCGAUGAAGAACGCAGC